GUUCCAAUCAGCGUUGUUAUUCAGUUGUUAUUUCCUUGUGUGGUUUACGGUGUUCUUUCACUGUUAAGGUUUGUCUUGAUUUAUGUCCUGUCAUAGAAAGUUUUUUGUUGUGAAUUUCGUGUAAGGAGCUUUUGAAAGAAACAAUGCCCAAACAUAAGGCUGUAUUGAUCUGGUAUUUUAUUUCCUCAGAGGAGUGUUCGUCUCUGAUUGAUGGAGUUGAUGUGUUUGUAAAUUUUAAGGUGAGAAGUUAGUGCUGGAAAGAAACAUCACUUCCUCUGCAUUGUUUCCUUCUCAAAACAGUUAAGUGUUUCAAGUAAUUCACCAACAAAAGGAAAAUUAGCUCCAGUGAUUCUGCCGAGAUUUAUGUCAAUACUUAAGCAUAUUUUGUAUAUAUAUGUCGAAUAAUCCUAUCACUAAUAUUUUUAAAUCGAUGAUUCUAUACAGCUAUUGUAAUAUUUAUUGUUAAAAAAAUAUAUUGAGAUCUUAAGAGAUUUAGAAUUUGUGAUCAACACAAAAAUUUAAAACGUUACAUAACUAACAAAUAUAAUAUCACUAUCUAACUACCACUAUAUAGUAUAUUCUAAACAUGUACAAAUAAGAGUGUUUCUAAUACAUAGAUAAGUGUACUUAGCAUAUAUUUUCCCUAACUAAGAGGAAUGUAUUGAAUUAAAGGUUUUAGAAGAUUUUAGAGUAUUUUAAUUUUGGUUGGAUUUAGGUGAAAUUUGAAAUUAUUUGAGUGAUUUUAGUAAAACUUAAAAAUAAAAAUGAAACCAAUAGGUGAUUUGGUAUGAUAUUUUCUAAAAAUUUCAAAGUUGUUUAAGUGAUUUGAAAUGAUAAUAUAUAUUUUUAAGCUUGGACAUUCGGGGUCCCAAUCGGAUUUCGGAUUUCGGCUUUGUCUAAUCGGGUUUUGGUUAUUUAGGUUUAUCAAAAUCAGUCAUAUUUGGGUUCUAUCGGGUUCAGGUCGAGAUUAGUAAAUCAUCAGAGAACCGGUAUAACCCGAUGUAAUUUUGGGUUCGGGUCCCAAUCGGUUCUUUAGUUUAAAAGUAUCUGAUUUAUACCUAAUUUGUAGUCAAAACAUAAGUAAAGUCAGUUCUUUGAUUUUAGAGUAUCUGAUUUGUACUUAUUUUAUGACCGAAACAUAAGUAAAAUCGAUUCAAAAAUAAAAAAAGAAACAUCAAACGUGACCACUUAAAAUCAAAUAAAAUGUAAACAUAGUAAUUAAUCGAAAGAAAACCAAAUAACUAAAAGAAUAAACGACAACAAAGUUCUCAUGAAACGAAAAACAUUAUUCAAUGAAAACAAAACCAAAAUAUAAAAAUUUCAAGCCUCAACCGCCACCUUCAACCAUCAAACUUCAUGCAAUAGAUAAUUAUCUUAGAAGUAUAUUAAGAAUUGAAACUAAUUUGAAAAAUAAUCAAUAUAAUUUGAAAAACCAACAACUAAUUUGUUUGUUUUUUGAAGUAUAUACAAAAUUAAAAAUAAUAAAAAUAUAUUAGGAAUUUUAAAAAUAAAUUAAUUAUCAAAUAUAAAUAUUAAAACUCAAAGGUUAAAAAAAAAGGUUAAUCAUGAAUCAAAAUCAGUUUUAAAAGAUUAGCCCCGUUGUAUAAGAUUGGUGGUUUAUAGUAUAAGAAUAUUUUAUUCAAAAAUGUGAUUUUAGCCGGAUAACUCAAAAUUUUCUGAAAAAUAUGAACCAUGCAAAAAUUGAAGUACUUGAAAUUUAACGGGUUUCUAACAUCAUUAUAUCGAACAAACUGAAAACCAAAAUAUUCAAUCACCCUAACCAAACUCAAUUUCAUAAAUAACUUAGCAGUUUCUAUAUUUUAAACCGAAAAAAUAAAAACAUUAAACCGAACUAAAAUAAAAAACCAGCAAAUAAUAAAAUGGACCAAACCAAAGGGCCACGCUUAACAUAUUAGUUAAUAUAUAGACGGGUUAAUAAAUUUGUUACCAAAAAAUAAUCUCGCGCUUUGAAAGCACGGGUCAAAAUCUAGUCAAUACUAUUAAAACUGAAGGGCCUUUUUUGAGACCACCUUCAAGUUUUGAAGUAUUUACAACUUCAUGCCACUGAAUUAUUUUUAAACUAUGAUUUCAAUUAAAUUAUUUUAUUUUUUAAAUUUCCUUUUAUUUAACCAUCCUAUUUUUUCGAGUCUUUUUCAACGCCUUUAUUUAAUUUACCAUGUGUAAUCUUACUUUUAAUCUCUCUCUGCCAUCGUAGAUGUAUUAAAAGAUGUAUUCACAUAAACAAUUAUACUUUUCAAUCUUUCCAUUGCUUAAACAAUAUAUUCACGUAAAAAACUGUACAAUUAAAUCCAGAUAUCAAGUUACAUGAACGAUGACAUGUUUAUUUCAUUAACAGAAUUCGAUUCUGUGUUUGCUUCAACACCAUACAUAAGGUUUAAAACCAUCUUAAACUGCUAUAACGCUCUUUUCCAUUGCUUAAACAAUAUAUGGCAGUAACAAAUUGUACAUUUAAAUU